rnacentral:rRNA from 1 species
CCUAAAGGCCGCACCAGGCUGAGCACAUCUGCGUCUGUCUGAUCUCAGAGGUUAAGCAGGGUCGGGCCUGGUUAGUACUUGGAUGGGAGAUCUCCUGGGAAUACCAGGUGCUGAGC